AUUGAACGCUGGCGGCAUGCCUUACACAUGCAAGUCGAACGGCAGCACGGGGCAACCUGGUGGCGAGUGGCGAACGGGUGAGUAAUGCAUCGGAACGUACCUUUCAGUGGGGGAUAACGUAGCGAAAGUUACGCUAAUACCGCAUAUUCUGUGAGCAGGAAAGCAGGGGAUCGCAAGACCUUGCGCUGAUUGAGCGGCCGAUGUCAGAUUAGCUAGUUGGUGAGGUAAAGGCUCACCAAGGCGACGAUCUGUAGCGGGUCUGAGAGGAUGAUCCGCCACACUGGAACUGAAACACGGUCCAGACUCCUACGGGAGGCAGCAGUGGGGAAUUUUGGACAAUGGGGGCAACCCUGAUCCAGCCAUGCCGCGUGAGUGAAGAAGGCCUUCGGGUUGUAAAGCUCUUUCGGCCGGGAAGAAAUCGCACGGGCUAAUACCCUGUGUGGAUGACGGUACCGGAAUAAGAAGCACCAGCUAACUACGUGCCAGCCGCCGCCGUAAGAC
rnacentral:rRNA from 1 species